UUAUCGGAGAGUUUGAUCCUGGCUCAGGACGAACGCUGGCGGCAUGCCUAAUACAUGCAAGUCGAGCGAACUAGAAGUUAGAGAUUAGAGGUUAGAGAUUAGAUUGAGGGUAGACUCCUUCGGUCCAACUUCUAAUUUCCAACCUCUAACUUCUAGUUAGCGGCGGACGGGUGAGUAACGCGUGGGCAACCUGCCUUAAAGACUGGGAUAACAUCCUGAAAGGGG
rnacentral:rRNA from 1 species